AGCCUGUUUGAGGCUGCAUUUUUACAACAUCAAGAAUUAGGUUUACAUUUUAUGAGGAUAAAGACUGAUGUUGCUGUUUAGCUUGGCAGAUGUAGUUCAUGAUCACUAUAGCCUCCCUGUCAUCAUGUGUACUUUGUCCCUUGGCUUUUUAGUCGCACAUACUCAAUCCUCCACCUGCUCCUCUCCCUGCUCUCCUCUCUCCAUCUACUGCAGCAAAGAUCUCCGGGAAGAGUAGGCAGACUAAGGCAAAUUAGAUAAAAGGCCCAUUUAAGCUGGUAAAACUUCAAUAUAACCAUAAUUUAUAAAUGGUAAAUAGAUAGUUUAUUAAUGUUUAAUUAUCAUUUAAAAACAGCAUAUAGACCAAUUAUAAAUGGCAAAUAGUUUAUUAAUGUAAGUUAAUAGUUACUUUACCAUUAACAAGCAAUGAAAUUGAAAUGAAAUAAUAAUUUUCAUUAAUUAUAAAUGGACUGUUUAUUAAGGGUUAAUACAGGGUUUAAAUAUUGGUUGUAAAACAUCUAGAACUAAAUGUGUGUCAGGAGCACUUUGUAAAUGUUUAAUAUUUGUUUUUUAAACCAUCUAUAAACAUUAGGGUUAGGUUUUAAAAAUUGUAAAAUUUACAAUUUAUUAAUGGUCUAUAUGCUAUUUAUAGAUGAUAAUUAAACUUAAUUAAACUAUCUGCUUACCAUUAAUAAAUGGUCUCUUUAUCAUUUAUAAGUUACGGCUAUUGUUAAGUGUUACCUUUAAACAUUUAGCAAUCAGAUACAUGAUUGGCUAAGCAGUCAGCUGAUAUGAGCUGGCGUUAUGGGCAGAUGUUCUCGAGGCUGAGCUUGCCUUUUUCGCCUGCCUGAACUAACACUAUGCUCAAUUUGUACAUUGAAAUUAAUUGCUGUUGCUCUCCUACAUGUAAAUUACUAUUAUUUAUUCUCAAACAACUAAUGAAACUUUGCAAAUGUUCUCCUCAUGAAAGGAUUUAUUUGUUUUUUGAUAAUUUUAUUGAUUUGUGCCAAAUUGAUAGUUUUGGUGUUGUUUAAACAGUGAGGAGCUGGCAAAACUCUGAAAACAUUCAUCUUAAAAAUGAAGCGUAUUGCCUGUAAUCAUCUCUGCAUAAACACAAAUCCGUCUGUUAAAUUUAUUCCUCCAGCUGCUUGUCUUUGAGCAAACAGGAUGUGAGUGGGGACAGAACAAAGACGGCGCUUCUUCAGAAGUAAAAACCAUUGAGCAGCAGAUUCUCUGAAAGAAAGUGGAGGCUGAAAAUGAAACACCUGACAGGCUGACGGUGUUUUUUUUAGCAGCCUACUUAUGUAUUAACAGUCAGUUAAGUGGCAUCUAAAAAUAACCUGUUAAUGAUUUAUGGAUAUUCAUCAAGUAAAAGGUGCAACCCUCUUUUGAGCACCUUCAAUAACUUGAUAGAUCUUUACAGCGUGAAAGAACAUCCUGCAUAUGCAUUUUUCACAGGCAGGGUGGUUUACAUGUCGAGUGCUUCAAAACGAUGCACCUGCACCUUCCUCCUUCCCAUUAAUCCAUGUCCCUCGAACACUGGAUUUAUGACCUCUACUGUCCAUAAACAGGACUAACAGUGGUAGCAGAGAGGCAGGUCAAUGCGAGGCAGAGUGUAACAGCUGUCAGAGGAGCACUCUCUCAUCUCCUCUGUCCAUCACAUUAAAUAGACAGAGCUUUGCAGAGGAUGGCGGGGCAGAAAGGGUGUCUGGUGGGAGUAAAAUAAUGGAGAGGAAGAGCGGAGUGCAGAGGUAUGAGAGCUAGAAUAAAGGAAAUGUCAAGAACUCAACUGGUUCCCAUUAUGUGAGAGACACAAUGACCCUCUUACCUAAUUGCUCCUUUUUACACGAGCAUUUUCUACAGAGCGUCACCUUCACAUGCACACCUUUCAUAGGACGUCUGUGAGAUAGCUUUAUGUGGUUUUCAGCACAAAAUAUCCUGCUUUAUCUCACACUGGUGUCCAUGGAAACCCUCAUUUCAGCUCUUUUCAGUUUUCAGCAUUUUGAAAAGCUUCAUUUUGGCUGAUUUCCUGCUGAUAUACAAUUAGUUCAGGGGUGCUACUUUUUACACAUCUAAGGCCGACACAAAAGUGAACCAGGAAUUCAGAGAUAGAGCAACCACAGAAACAACUGGACCCAGGUUAAGGGCUCUUGAAGUGGUGCCAAUCAAAUCAAUGAGGCUGUGUGCACCUUUGGACGAUAAUAUGGACCCAACCUGAGACAGCAUUUGAGGUUCUCUAACUGUAAACUUAACCCUCUUUCUUUGGGUCCAAACACAGGUACUUAGGUUUGUUCCUCUUCUUCAGGUCCUCCUACUCCUCCUCCUGCCGACUGCGCACCUGAGAGCAAUUUGCGCUCAGAUAGGAGGAGGGGAUUUAGAGGUUCAGGGAAGAGCAGUCGGGAGAGCAGGCAGGCACACCGGCCCACACACACACACCUUUUGCAGUGUGGUAAGGAGUUUGCGCUCCAUCUAACUUUUGUUUUCUCCCCCGCAGGUUUGAUUGUUUGUUUGUUCAACCGGUAUGUUUAAUUGCUGGUUUUGUUGCGUUAGUUUGUUGUUUUAGUUUGGGCUGGAGACCACGGUAGUCCAGUUUCCAUUGUUUAGUUAAAUUAGUUUCCAGAGUUAAUAAGUAAGGUCCAUUAAGCAGCCCGGUCAGCACCUUUCCCUUUUUGCUCCUUUUGGCCGGGGUCUCCAGCUUUUUUUGUUUGACAGUUUUUCUCCGAUCACAGUUUUGUGUCUGUUCAGUUGCUUAUGUUAUGGUCCCUUUUACGAGCCUUUCCGUAUUAAGAGAUUAAGAAGGCCGUCACAAGGUUACUAUGGUUACAAACUUUUUCACUUUGUUGACUAGGGGUGUAAAUCCUUAAAAAGAAAAAUCUAAAUUUGAUUGACUAUCUAUUGUUGGAGGUCAGAAUACUAUCAGAAAUUUAUUUUAAAUUUAAGCAGAUAAAUAACCAGGUCCGUUGAUUUACAUGGGGUGCUUAUUUCAGCCCAAUGUGGAUCAAAAAAGGCAGUUAAGCCAAAUCUUAUGGUUUUCAUACUCAGUAAAAUAUGAUUGAUAUUAUGCGGUUUGAUAUUAUGUGAUCAUUCAGGACUGCAUAUCUGACGUGGAGGGAUGCCUUUCUCCACCUUUACUGAAACUUAAAAUCCCACCAAACAACGUCAACGUCUGCCAAAGUCUGUGACAAGACAGUGAAGAACACAUAAUCCUGUUUUCAGUCAAAAUACCCCCUCCAAAAAACCAAGUCCAUGAACCAUUUCCUGGUGGGUCUGGAAGACUUUAUCUUGCCUGCACAGAGCCGUGGCCUCAAACCUGUCCAACAUCUUUGGAGCAUCAACUGCAAAGCCAGACCUUGGCAUCUGAUCGGCAGUGUUGGACUCCAGUCUUGCUCUUGUGCCUGAAUGAGAACAAAUUCCUGCAGCCAGCCUCCAAAAUGUGGUGAAAAGAUGUCCCUGAAGAGAGAUGGCUGUUUGAGCAUCUGUCGCAGUUUGCUUCCUUAUUCCCCUGACUCCCUCUUUGCCAUUUUACUUCUAACCUCCAGAUGUCUUCACCCUUUUCCCCCAUUGCCCUUCAACCCUUUUACUCAUCUCUACACCUGUUCGCAUGUCAGUCGAUGAAACUUUUGAUGUCACUCAUUUCCAGCUCUGAAGCCUCCUUUACCCUGUUAUAUUCGUCCACUAUACCAGCCUGUGUGUUUGCCCAAUGCCGUCUAUACCUCCAUUGAAGCAAUUCACCUUGUGGCUCGAAUUCCUAUUCUGAUGGCAUCAAAAUAAUAAUCCUAGUGAUACUUUUAGCAAUCUCUUAUUGGAUUCAGAUGUAGACAGACAUAUAUAGUGAAAAAAACAUGUCAGUAGUUAAGGCUGACAUUGCUGUUGUAUCCAAAGAACUUGCAGAAAGGGGUCGGACACAUUUAUUAUGUCAAUGAUUUCACUUCAAAAGGGUUUGCUUCAGAGAGCGUCAGUAGUUAACACAGUGUAAAUAUUUCAGUAGUUAAGGCUGACAUUGCUGUUGUAUCCAAAGAACUUGCAGAAAGGGGUCGGACACAUUUAUUAUGUCAAUGAUUUCACUUCAAAAGGGUUUGCUUCAGAGAGCGUCAGUAGUUAACACAGUGUAAAUAUUCCAAUAAUCUCAGUUUAUAUGGAGAUCACAAAACAGGAAGAGACAUCAAACAAAUAGAAGAAAACAGAAACGAAACGACCACAAUCUUUAACGGUAUGGGCUUUUACACUCUUAUGGGCGCUCACACCGCGUGAGUAAAAUCAUUUACUCGAUUAAUUCGUGCAAAUGUAGACGUGUGAAUGAAUUGUAUUUACUCGCUUCAUUCGUGCGCCAACAGUGAUUUCAACAGUAAUUCCUGCCAAUUCAACCGGUGGGAUCAAGUGAUAGACAAAGGUUUUUUUUACAGUUUACCAGGUAAUCCUCACUCACUUGUCUCCCAGCGAGCUCCUUUCUACUCCAGCUUUGGUAACUGAAAGGAAAGGUGUCAUAUAAUCCAGGGCACCCACACACCGACAUGAUCAGUUUUAGAUUACAGAUACCAGUGAACAACCGUCCGUUUUCAUACAUCACCCGGCAACGUUUGUGCUGAUUAGUUAUUGCAACGCGAAUAUCCACUCAAGUUGAGACAAUUUCAGCUCCCACCCAAUUUGCAAAGAUCUGGUUUCAAUAUGCAUGCUCAGUAAGAGUCACAUCUUCACCUCAGUGGGUGAUGGUGCUUCUGGGAAAUGCUGUUCUCAUCCCAGUGUGUUAAAUCUGUAUUUGCGAGACGGGUGUUGAAGCUUUCUAUUCAAAGUACAGAUGGAAAAGUGGCUUUAAUGUUUAAUGCACUUUUUUUCUUCUCAUGCAUUAUAAUGUUAGCAAAAUAGACAUAUCUUACAGCAGCUGCAAACUUUAUUUAUGAAACCGGUCCCAGAUAUUACAGAAACUUUGUAAAUGCUAUCAUAUUUGCACCAGUAAACUGCAGAAUUGCCUUUUUUUUCCACAACAGGUCAUUUCUUGGUCAACAAGUUCCUCAAAAACCUGCCCACAUCAACACAUCAGACAUUGUAAAACCAUUUGAUUGGCCAUAUCAGUGCACCAGGCCUCUUCUAACAAGAAGAGCACUUCCACAAACAUUUUGAAUUAUAGAUGAGUGUGAAAUGGAAAAAUGCAAUCCCCAGAGUAACUAUAUGAAAAGUAGCCACAGAAGGAUGCAGCAGCAUUAAGUCCAGCUCUUGGAAAAAUCAUUUCAGGCACACAUAAUGGAACACGGGCCAAAUGGAAAUCCAGAGUUUUCUUGGCCUGAUUCACACAUGAAGAUGUUGCUCUGACAGGCAGUAAAAAGAGAAUAUGGAGUUAAGUAAGAAGUUAGAAAGCAAAGGGAGAUCAAAAAGGAUUUCUCUGUCUGUAUUCAGGAUCUGGGUCCUUUUGAAGUCUGGAUAAAUAAGUCAGAACGGGUCAAGAAGCCGUAUCUGUUUGACAGGAUCUAUGAAAUGUGGAAGAAAUAAAGCCCCUUGCUGUCUGAACCUGAUGAUGCAAGUGAUGCUUCCUCUGCCGUCCGUGUUUUACUAAAAGCUCUGUCUGUAAUUUAAGCAAUUAUGUUUUAAUUAAAGAAUUGAGACUUUUGAAUUUCCCUUUGGUGAUCAAUAAAGUUCUUUUUUAAAAUGGAAAUGAGUGAAAGAGAGGGACAGAAAUGUUCGACCUCAAUACAUGGACCUUGAUCACUUUUACUUUUGUUUUGUGGAGGGCACAGAUUUUUAUCCUCCAGGAGAAGAUGGGGCGGCAGUAGCUCAGGAGGUAGAGCGGUCGUCCAAUGACUGGAAGGUUGGCGGUUCGAUUCCCCCCUAAUCCAAGUCUGUCCGUUGUGUCCUUGGGCAAGACACUUAACCCACCUUGCUCCAUGUGUGUCCUCCACUGGUGUAUGAUUGUGAGUGUUGUGUGGUGGUGGUCGGAAAGGCCGUAGGUGCAGAAUGGCAGCCACGUUUCCACCACCACCAAAGUGUGACUGUGUGAGCGAAUGAAUGAUAUAUCCAAUGUAAAGCGCUUUGAGGGUCUCUGAUAAAGCGCUUUAUGAAAUCUGAUGCAUUAUUAUUAUUAUUAUAAGAUGGAUUGGAAUCACUGCCUUCAUUAGACAGUAUUUCCUUAGCUCUGUGAGGUGAAACAGCUGCAUAUUCUUGGGUGACUAUAUUCUAAAUCUACCAAAAGAGGACACGACUACACGGCUUUGCGUGCAGUGUUCGAGUGUUUUUUACACGCUUCUAACUCAGUAAGUCUCCGUGACACAAACUAAAAACUUCCGUACAAGACCCCAGACAUUUGAAGGAUUUAUAAACUCCCCCGGACAUAGCCGGACAAGGCUGGACAGCCUCCCAAAAAGAGGACAUGUCUGGGUAAAAGAGGACGCAUGGUCACCCUAGCAUAUUCAAUCUUAGUAAUGCCACUUAAACAUCAUAAAACUCCCCAAGACCCCACAUACCAACAUGAAUGAGACAAAGGAACCAAGUAUACCAAACAACUUAAAAUAACAGACUCAUGAGAGAAAAGUGGUACAGUUAUCCUCCGAACAAAGUUCAAAACAAAGAGCUGAACUCCUGCAGACAAAUUCAUCAGAUGCACAACUGAUUACCAAAUGUAGAGAGCUUACCAACACCUGAAAAAACCGACAACAUUACGUUGGUUCAUGCCAGGCGUGAAUAAAAUGUUCCUGUAAGUGAAUUAGACACAAGCUCUUGUAGGGCGACAUGAAUGAGGUGGCACAGUUAACAAAUCUGUGACGUGUUCAAUGUGCUACUCGCUUGUUUGCAAAAUUCGAAAAUGUCUGAACUUAAGCAAAUUGUUUGCACCUCAAUAGCCAAUUGGUCAUGUAUGUCAACAAGGCAGGCAGAGGUUCCUACAUCUAAAAAAUAGAGGAAAAACUACUUCAGCUAUGUGAUAAAACUUUUUAAAAAGUUUCACAAAAUGGCAGGAUGAGGCCCCAUCUUUUUUUUGAGAAAUAAGGUCAAAUCCUUACCGCCUUUUAAUGACAACAAACUUUUCCGGUUACUUUGUAUUCCACACAUUGAAAAUCCCACCAGAACUCCUUUUCAAAGUUAUGACACCUUUAGCUUUGGUGCCUUAGAGAUGACAUUGAUUCACUUCACACGGAAAACAGGUCGAUCCUGCUUAGAAGUGAGGCGCAGCUCACAAAGACGCCUACAGCUUACAACUCCCACCCUUUCUUUAGUCAAAACCGAGCUCAUAUCCUGAACAAACGAUGAGAAAUAACAUCGGUGCUUUACCUUGGAUCACAAAACAGAAGACAGGUGAGCUAUUUGAGGCCUUUCACAGCUCAGUGGUCAUUGAUAAGAAGCAAAAGGACACCUGUGAGGAGGCUGAAAGAAAGAAGAAAAGAUCUGGAGUGACGGUAAAAGCAGGGAAAUGCAGCAAAGUCCCUGAGACAGAUGGCGAGGAGCGCUUGAGAGGAUUUUCCCCCAUUAUGAAAACACCACAAAGCUUGAAACUCCAGCUGUGAGCGGCACAAAGCGUACCAGCAGCAACCACCAAGAGGCAGCAGCCUGCCAACAAACAGCCUCUAAUGAAUGGAGGAGCUCGCAUCAGAGGCUCUGGGACUGUGGAUGGAGCAGCACGGCUUUCUGCAGGUGCAUAAAAGCGGCUGGCACACGCCUGUCUGCAUUACCAAACGGUCACGGUGCAUUUCUGUGUGAUCCUCAGAUUAGAUAAGAUUCAGAGGCUGAUCACCGGUGACGUGUGUGAAAUGGAGAGAGUGGAUUUUAACAGAUUUGUCUGGAGGCUGUGGUGAAAAUGAGGGGAAAGAAACUGACAUCACCCCAGUAGCUGGUUGUGUCUUUAUCAACAUGCAUUCACAAAAGUUGAUGAACGAAAAUGAGAAAGAGGCAUGGAGCCAGAAAGGAGUUAGGGUGCAGUUGGUGCAGCCGAGUGACAAAAUAAUCUGUGAUUAAUUUAUGCCUCAAAAAAACUGAGUAGAUAGAUUUCUAUAGGUUUUUAAAUCAGUUUAGUGUGAAGAUAAACUGAGAAAGGAAAAUUUACUAAAUUUUGAAAGAGAGAAAAAAAGGAGGAGAAAUUCCCUCGACUAUCAUCUGUAACAUUUUGUUCAGAGUAUGUUCAAUUUCACAGCAGGUUCCUGUUCCUCGACUACAAAUACUGUUUACCUGUCAUGUCAAUAUGGCCUCUCUUUCCAACUGGAGCUGACCGGUCAAGCUGCGUUUCUGUGUGAGCGAGAGAGUGAGUGUGUGUGUGUGUGUGUGUGUUCAUCCUGUAAAGCAUGUGUGUGUCCAUCGUACCUCAUUUAGCAUUGAGAGGCAGUCGUGUAUUCAACGACCGAGCCAAUUUCAGAUUCCAUUUUGGCUCAAAUUAAUCCAGGAGCAGGAGAGUCCCAUACUGAACUGAGUACUCAGAUUGCGCUGGAUUUUGAAGGAUUAGCCUCUCUGCUCAUGAUUUUCUCUACCUGAGAGCAGCUCAACCAGGAGAAAGCUGAAGACACUCUAUAAUAAUGGCCAUGAUUUUUACAAGAGAUGAGACGGGAGGCACGUCUUUAUCCAUCUGUAUUUUCAGAAAAUAUGUUCAGCUUUAACCUGUCUUUGUACUUAAAGUCAUAUUAUAAGUUUUACUUAACCAGUUUGUGCUUUAUUCUCGAACAAUUCAGAGUUUGUCAGCAGUUAUUUUAGUAUAAGUUAAUAAUUGAAUAAAGUACAAUUUCUCACUCUGAAUCCCUUUCAUGCAUGGAUCUACAUCACAAAUAUUAUAUUUUAUCCCACUUGUUCUAGGGUGCUCAAAGACUUCUGUGACGAUAAAAUUGUGACGAUGAAAACAUUUUAACCUCCAAAAACAUACAUAUCUUGCAUAUCUGUUAGCUUUCAGGCGCUGCUCUCCCGAAUUCUCCCAAAUUUUAAUGAAAAUUUUGGCCAGUUUCAGCACAAGUACAUGUGCUACCAAGAGCUUAUAACUAUCUAUCCAUUGUCUGUAUCACUUAUCCCCUCAGGGUUGCAGGGAGGUGAGGGUACAGCCUAGACAGGCCAGCCAGUCCUUAAACUGCAGUUCCCAGAAUGGCAACUUGAGGCUGGCUGAUGAAGCACCCAAAACCCGGCAAAAAGGCCGUUUCGGAGCAAAAAUAAACACGUUCACAGCCUGGUUCAAAAAGGUUUCAGUCUGAGUAGCUCUCAUGGCACCCACUCUACAGGGAGUGAGAAUAAAGGCGGGUGAUGUGAAUGACUCAGACUUGUUUGAACUGGUUCUUGAUUACCAUCUUUAGUACUAUCCAAUUACAAUGAAUUUUCCAGAUACAAAUACUCUGUGGGUUUGUUUUGUUGUUAUUUACGAAUUCUAAAAGCAGAAUUCAAUAUAAAUUUUGCUUACAUACGUCUUGGAAAUUCUCUUAAUGUCUCCACACACCAAGUGUGAGUAAAAUCAUUAAUGUGGAUGAUUUACAUGUUAAGUCAAUGCAAAGACGCGAUUAGAUGCUCCUACUACUCUGGCUGCUCAAAUGAAAAUGCGGGAAUUGGGCGUGAUAUUCUGCGGUUGAAUUGGCAGAGAUUACUGUUGAAAUUACAAUUGACAUGCGAAUGAAGCGAGUAAAUACUAUUCAUUCACACGUCUAGAUUUGUGCAAAUUAAGUGAGUAGAUGAUUUUACUCGCGCUUGGUGUGAGCGCCCCAGUGGGUUUGCUAGUUUGCGCCAUCUCUCCUGCAUUUGUUUGGUAGAUAUUCUCAUCUUUAUUUUUUUUCACAUUUUUGCAGCAUUUGCGCAUUUGUCAUACCUCUCUGAAGCGUCAUCUCGCGCUUGCAGCUCAGGUUUAUUCUUGUAUUUGUUUUCGAUCUCCUUGUAUGUUUCAAAAUCUGCUCGCUGUCUCAAGCUGCAGCUGGUUCCUCUUGUGAUUUGGCAUGUUUGCCCUUGUGGGUAUCCAUAUUCAGAACCUCUUUAAACUUUGGUUUUGCCCUGGUACUUGGUGGAUAAAUACACAGAGAGCUCAGAGGAUUUGGUAAAUAACACAAAGGAGCAAAUUGUGCAGUUGAAGGUUUCUGAUGAAAAGACCCCAUGGAGAUCUGGAUUUGAAUCUGUUUGUAGACACUGAAGGUCCUGUAUUAUUCCUGUUGUAUAAUUUUCUUUUACAUACACAUUGAUUAAACCAGCAUACUCAGUGUUGUGAGGGCUUUUAUCUCAGUACUACCUCCAUUUCUGAAAGUGGAACAGCACGGGAAUCUUCAAGAUUUAAGCUACAGCACCACAAAAACAGAAGAUGCUUGACAAGAGGUAUAAUGUGUGUACACAGUGAUUGUCCUGCAGAUGUGGGUAAAUUCAUAAACAGCAGGCCACACAGACAUCAUGAAACAUUUGCUCACAAACUCAGAUAGGUUUUUGUUUCUGAUGCAACUUCCUCCAACUCUGAGUCAGAAUCAGGCGAAGCUUUCCAUCACAGACUCAGAGAUCUGAUCUGAGGCCGCUCCAAUUAUAAAGGACACUUCAGGGUGCAGGGAGCCAGAAGAGCUUUGGUUAUCUCACAGCUGAAGCACACAGUUUGAUGAAGUGGGUUUUUCUCAGUUUCGCAAUGCUCUUUAUGGCAGCUUGUUUAGGCCACAGAUUUGUAGGCAUAAAUAUUGUAAAGAGUAGACUUAGAGUUAAUCAUGAGUGACUAUAAGAGCAGAACUGCAUUUGAAAAGUUUUUAAUUUACGAACAGCUUAAUGUUUUACAGAUGUUUAUUCAAAAGUCUGAUUUAAAUUAGUAGCUGUGAAAGUAAUAUUGCCAUUACUACAAAUCAUCCGCCAACAUGGUCUGAAGUUCCAUCUGUAUGCAGAUGACACUCAGCUCUAUCUCGGCAUAAAACCAUUCACCCGGUGUCCAUAACAUAAAGACCUGGAUGACACACACUAUCCUCAAAGUUGUGCCCCCUAGGUUCUGCUCAGGAAAGUUGGAUAUGUUGUUUUCGAAGUAGAUAGGUGCACCAUCCACCCAUCCUCGAAGGUCAGCAGCCUGGGUGUUAUCAUGGACUUCACCCUUCUCCUCUUUCUCUCACAUCAACUCAUCGCUAAAUCCACCUUCUUUUAUCUGAUUACUGCUAUGAUUACUGCAGUGGAGUCCUGUCCGAGGUACCCAGUAAAUCCAUGGACAGGCUCUAGUAAUCUUACCUGCACCAAGCCUUGGCAGCACAACACCCCAACACUCAUCCACCAAUAAAAUCUUGUAUCAUACACAAAAUACUACCCCUCACCUACAAAUCCAGUAUGGACGGAGAGAAAAGUUUCGCUAACUGCAUAUGUGACUACUCAUGGUAGUUUUUGUUGGCAUUGGUGUUGCCCAUUUGUUGAUAUGUAUGCUACUAGUUUGUUUAGGUCUGCUUGGUACUGUUAGGUUUAAACAAAUGUUUAGAAAGCGUGAGGAAGAUCAAAUACAUCCUUUCUCGCCACUUCAUGUUGGGCAUAGGGAAAACUGUCCACUAUUAGUGCUGCUCAAGAAGACACUCCAUAUGCAUGCAAACAAAAUUCUCCUGUGGUCUUUUCAACGUGACAAGGCCCUUUAAUCUUGACAGUUCAUGAAUAAUAAGCCGUGUAUAAGUACGUUCCCUGUAAGUUUGAUCAGUGUGCGGUCUUUCCUGUGGAGAUCUUUCUAAGGCACUGCAGUGUGAAACAAAUGAACAUACAGACAUGACUUCAUACAGUGCGAUCGGCAGUGAUAGAUUCAUGCAUGAACACGCACAUGCUUGCAAACAAGAUGGCAGGUGACUGAGCAGUGAGCAGUGAGGCAAGAGGACACAUGCACAGAAACACUCCUUUUUACCACCUCCACCACAAACACCACCAACGCUUUAGUCGUUCUUGACAUUUUUUCAUUUUCCCACCGGCUAGCGCCCUGUUCAAGCCCCACAGAUUACAACGUCAUCCUCCAACACCUCUGCUAUCUGGCUUUUGAUUUUGCAUUUUGCUCACGUAACAACGCACCGCUGUAAUGUCUGUGGGAAAAAAAAGGCACUAAGGAAUCACACCGGUAUGACUGAUGGAGUUUAAGGUCAGGUGGGUCUGGAGUGGACCUGCCUGCUGUCCGCCCUGCUGGGAGACACUCUAUUAAGUGGUUGCCCUGUUUCCACAGAAAAGGAAAUCUUAUUCCAGGGGUCACAUGUUAUAAACAUAAUGUUAGCAAAAAAAAAUGCUCCUGAGACAUUAUGGUGUAUAACCCUUUGGCUCAUUAUUAAAUUCUGUUUGUGAAAGGUUUAGGUGGGUGCCUAUCAUUACUGGAGGGAGGUGAUUUAGACAGCUUCAACUAUCUUAUGGAUUUAAAACUUCUGAUUGACUUUCCAGACACUUAGAAUAAAACUUAAGUGAUUUAACAUAUUUUAAUAACAUCUAAAUUCCUGUUUCCAAAUAGUGAAACCACUCUCUUGGUUUGAAUUGUAUUGGCAGUGAAUCCCCGACUUUCCUAUGACAUGCACUAAUGGUGUAUUUUACCUUAAUUUAAUUUGCACAGUUUUCUCUGUUGUCUCCAUGAUUUCCCUCAUUCCUCAGUCCAAAAACAAAUUCAAACAUGUAAAAUUACAUGC